GACGAACGCUGGCGGCGUGCUUAACACAUGCAAGUCGAACGGAAAGGCCCUGCUUUUGUGGGGUGCUCGAGUGGCGAACGGGUGAGUAACACGUGAGUAACCAGCCCUUGACUUUGGGAUAACUUCAGGAAACUGGGGCUAAUACCGGAUAGGAGCUCCUGCUGCAUGGUGGGGGUUGGAAAGUUUCGGCGGUUGGGGAUGGACUCGCGGCUUAUCAGCUUGUUGGUGGGGUAGUGGCUUACCAAGGCUUUGACGGGUAGCCGGCCUGAGAGGGUGACCGGCCACAUUGGGACUGAGAUACGGCCCAGACUCCUACGGGAGGCAGCAGGGGGGAAUAUUGCACAAUGGGCGGAAGCCUGAUGCAGCAACGCCGCGUGCGGGAUGACGGCCUUCGGGUUGUAAACCGCUUUCGCCUGUGACGAAGCGUGAGUGACGGUAAUGGGUAAAGAAGCACCGGCUAACUACGUG
rnacentral:rRNA from 1 species